rnacentral:rRNA from 5 species
CUCGGUGGUUUACAGAUGAGCGGUCCGACCUGAUCCCAUCCCGAACUCAGUAGUCAAACGCUCAAUCAGGGACGAUAAUUUAUUCGCAAGGAUAUGUGAAAAUACCCCACUGCCGGGA